GCUGGGCAUGGUGGCGCGUGCCUGUAAUCCCAGCUACUCAGGAGGCUGAGGCAGAAGAAUUGCUUGAACCCAGGAGGUGGAGGUUGUGGUGAGCUGAGAUCGUGCCACUGCACUCCAGCCUGGGUAACAAGAGUGAGACUCCGUCUCAA
rnacentral:sRNA from 1 species